AUGCACUCGGGAACUCUGGAGAGAGUGAACACACCGAGGAAACGGUCUUUAUCUCGGGGAAUGAGUGAGGAUGAGUCACUUCGACACAUAAUAAAAGAGGCAGAGAGCUCUGCCAGACGCCUGUCACGCGCAGAUAGUCGGGUGGGCUCUAUCAAGAAGCUGGACAGAGGAGAAAGUCAGAGUGAAGAGGACUUGGUUACAAGGAUUCCUGAAAUGCUGGACCUCCAGGAGGCGUACAAUGAAGCGAUGCAGGAUGUUCGACAACUGGAGCUCCAUCGAGAGGUGCUGAUUUUUCAGGUUGGCUGCCUGCAGGAUGCCCUCGAAGGGGCGGAAGAGAUGCUUGCCGAAGCACAAAGGGAAGCCAGCGACGCUAAUUUGGAGCUGGAGCGAGAGAGGCUGGCGAAGAGAAACCUGGAAGUCAAAGUGGACUCACUCAUGCAGGAGUUGGAGAAACUAAGACAGGAGUGUGGCGUAGUGCGAGGGAUAGACAGUUCCGGUGGCAUGGAGAAUGUUUCUCCGGAGAGGAUGACCAUAUCAACAGUCCCUGUUGACAUCCAAGUCAGGAAUUCAGAACAGGAAAGCAACGUUGAUGUGACAGAUGAGGGGAUGAGGGAAGAGGGUGAUAGCAGAGGGCCUUUGACUCUAAAUGAGGAUCUGAAGAAUAGGAUAUCUGCAGAAGAAGCUCUGCUCUCCAUUGUACACCUGGAUAAUACCCCAAGUCCCUCAAGCCUUAUACCUGUAGAAGGAGUAAAUGAGACUCCAGAGAAGAUGUCAUCAAAGAAAGCUCCUGAUGGUGUGUUCAGUUCCUUCCUCAGGAAACGAAACGAAGAACAGUCCCCAAUGGAAGAAAGCAGUUCACACCCACCUCCACUUGGCUCAUCUCAUCUGGAGUCAUCUGUGGACUCAGAGGAGGCUGACAAUGAAAAGGAGAGUAAAAAUGCUGAAGAAACAAAGGUGAACAUUGAAAGCCCACUUGCUAAAUUUCAGAGAAUAGUCAACAAGACCUUUGCUCAGAUGUCUUCUUUAGCUAUUACUACCAGCCCUUCACAGGAUGGGAUCUUCAGGAGUGCUUCUGUAAGUCAAGGGAACUUGUUGUCAAACAAAAAAGUGAUGAGGGACACUACUCCAGAACAGACUGAUGCUGUGCCCCAUGUAGAUGCCCUGUCGGAUGCCCAGUCUGAAACACUGGAAAAUACACCCGAUGUUGACACAUCAUUAACGCAGCCCAAACUACAUGAGGAACCAGACCCUGCUAAAGUGGGCAAUGAAGAUAAUGGGGCAGGUGUUCCCUACACUGUACCUGAAGAGCCUUUGGGCCAAAAACAUGAUAUUGACAGCAGGGAUCCUAAGAACCCCGAUUCCUGUACUCUGUCCUGA
rnacentral:lncRNA from 1 species